rnacentral:rRNA from 1 species
GACGAACGCUGGCGGCGUGCUUAACACAUGCAAGUCGAACGGAAAGGCCCUGCUCUUGUGGGGUGCCCGAGUGGCGAACGGGUGAGUAACACGUGAGUAACCUGCCCUUGACUUUGGGAUAACUUCUGGAAACUGGGGCUAAUACCGGAUAGGAGAUCCUGCUGCAUGGUGGGGGUUGGAAAGUUUCGGCGGCUGGGGAUGGACUCGCGGCUUACCAGCUUGUUGGUGGGGUAGUGGCUUACCAAGGCUUUGACAGGUAGCCGGUCUGAGAGGGUGACCGGCGACAUUGGGACUGAGAUACUGCGCGGACUCCUACUGGAGUCAGCAGUGGGGGAUAUUGCACAAUGGGCGGAAGCCUGAGGCAGCAACGCCGCGUGCGGGAUAACAGCCGUCGGGUUGUAGGCCGCUUUCGCCGGUAACGAAGCGUGAGAGACGGUAAUGGGUAAAGAAGCACCGGCUAACUACGUG